GGGCCCGCACAAGCGGAGGAGCAUGUGGUUUAAUUCGAUGAUACGCGAGGAACCUUACCAGGGCUUAAAUGGGAGACGACAGUUUGGGAAACCAGAUUUUCUUCGGACGUCUUUCAAGGUGCUGCAUGGUUGUCGUCAGCUCGUGCCGUGAGGUGUCAGGUUAAGUCCUAUAACGAGCGCAACCCCUAUUGUUAGUUGCCAGCGGGUCAUGCCGGGAACUCUAACAAGACUGCCGGUGCAAACCGUGAGGAAGGUGGGGAUGACGUCAAAUCAUCACGGCCCUUACGUCCUGGGCUACACACGUGCUACAAUGGACGGUACAGAGAGCAGCCACCACGCAAGUGGGCGCGAAUCUUCAAAGCCGUUCUCAGUUCGGAUCGGAGUCUGCAACUCGACUCCGUGAAGCUGGAUUCGCUAGUAAUCGCAUAUCAGCCAUGAUGCGGUGAAUACGUUCCCGGGCCUU
rnacentral:rRNA from 1 species